GGGGUAAUAGCUCAGUGGUAGAGCACGUUCUUAGCAUGCACAGGAUCCUGGGUUCGGUCAAUCCCCAGUACCUCCA
rnacentral:tRNA from 1 species